GUAAGGAAUAUUGGUCAAUGGACGCAAGUCUGAACCAGCCAUGCCGCGUGAAGGAUGAAGGUCCUCUGGAUUGUAAACUUCUUUUAUCUGGGACGAAAAAAGGGUUUUCUAACUCGACUGACGGUACCAGAUGAAUAAGCACCGGCUAACUCCGUGCCAGCAGCCGCGGUAAUACGGAGGGGGCAAGCGUUAUCCGGAUGCACUGGGUUUAAAGGGUGCGCAGGCGGAUAUGUAAGUCAGUGGUGAAAUCUCUGGGCUUAACCCAGAAACUGCCGUUGAGACUAUAUAUCUUGAAUGCCGUGGAGGUAAGCGGAAUAGGUCAUGUAGCGGUGAAAUGCUUAGAUAUGACAUAGAACACCUGUUGGGAAGGCAGCUCACUAAGGCGAUACUGACGCUGAGGCACGAAAGCGUGGGGAUCGAACAGGAUUAGAUACCCGUGUAGUCC
rnacentral:rRNA from 1 species